AUUGAACGCUGGCGGCAGGCCUAACACAUGCAAGUCGAACGCGUGGCGCACGGGUGAAAAAUCUCUGGGACACUGCCUUAGGGAGGGGGAAAACUACUGGACACGGUCGCUAACACCACAUCCCCACAUAUGUGCCCAGAUGGGAUUCGCUUGUUGGUGGGGUAACGGCUCCCCAAGGCGACGAUCCCUAGCUGGUCUGAGAGGAUGACCAGCCACACGGGAACUGAGACACGGUCCAGACUCCUACGGGAGGCAGCAGUGGGGAAUAUUGCACAAUGGGCGAAAGCCUGAUGCAGCCAUGCCGCGUGUAUGAAGAAGGCCUUCGGGUUGUAAAGUACGUUCAGCGGGGAGGCGUUACCCGCAGAAGAAGCACCGGCUAACUCCGUGCCAGCCGCCGCGGUAAUAC
rnacentral:rRNA from 1 species